rnacentral:tRNA from 1 species
GCCCGAGUGGCGGAAUGGCAGACGCGACGGACUCAAAAUCCGUUGUCCGCAAGGGCGUGUGGGUUCGACUCCCACCUCGGGCACCA